GCUUAACACAUGCAAGUCGAGGGGCAGCAUCAUCAAAGCUUGCCUUGAUGGAUGGCGACCGGCGCACGGGUGAGUAACACGUAUCCAACCUGCCGACAACACUGGGAUAGCCUUUCGAAAGAAAGAUUAAUACCGGAUGGUAUAGUUUUCCCGCAUGGGAUAAUUAUUAAAGAAUUUCGGUUGUCGAUGGGGAUGCGUUCCAUUAGGCAGUUGGCGGGGUAACGGCCCACCAAACCAACGAUGGAUAGGGGUUCUGAGAGGAAGGUCCCCCACAUUGGAACUGAGACACGGUCCAAACUCCUACGGGAGGCAGCAGUGAGGAAUAUUGGUCAAUGGACGAGAGUCUGAACCAGCCAAGUAGCGUGAAGGAUGACUGCCCUAUGGGUUGUAAACUUCUUUUAUACGGGAAUAAAGUGGGCCACGUGUGGCUUUUUGUAUGUACCGUAUGAAUAAGGAUCGGCUAACUCCGUGCCAGCAGCCGCGGUAAUACGGAGGAUCCGAGCGUUAUCCGGAUUUAUUGGGUUUAAAGGGAGCGUAGGCGGGUUGUUAAGUCAGUUGUGAAAGUUUGCGGCUCAACCGUAAAAUUGCAGUUGAUACUGGCGACCUUGAGUGCAACAGAGGUAGGCGGAAUUCGUGGUGUAGCGGUGAAAUGCUUAGAUAUCACGAAGAACUCCGAUUGCGAAGGCAGCUUACUGGAUUGUAACUGACGCUGAUGCUCGAAAGUGUGGGUAUCAAACAGGAUUAGAUACCCUGGUAGUCCACACAGUAAACGAUGAAUACUCGCUGUUGGCGAUAUACAGUCAGCGGCCAAGCGAAAGCAUUAAGUAUUCCACCUGGGGAGUACGCCGGCAACGGUGAAACUCAAAGGAAUUGACGGGGGCCCGCACAAGCGGAGGAACAUGUGGUUUAAUUCGAUGAUACGCGAGGAACCUUACCCGGGCUUAAAUUGCAACUGACUGAACCGGAAACGGUUCUUUCUUCGGACAGUUGUGAAGGUGCUGCAUGGUUGUCGUCAGCUCGUGCCGUGAGGUGUCGGCUUAAGUGCCAUAACGAGCGCAACCCUUACGGGUAGUUACCAUCAGGUUAUGCUGGGGACUCUACCCGGACUGCCGUCGUAAGAUGUGAGGAAGGUGGGGAUGACGUCAAAUCAGCACGGCCCUUACGUCCGGGGCUACACACGUGUUACAAUGGGGGGUACAGAAGGCAGCUACACGGCGACGUGGUGCUAAUCCCGAAAGCCUCUCUCAGUUCGGAUUGGAGUCUGCAACCCGACUCCAUGAAGCUGGAUUCGCUAGUAAUCGCGCAUCAGCCACGGCGCGGUGAAUACGUUCCCGGGCCUUGUACACACCGCCCGUCAAGCCAUGAAAGCCGGGGGUACCUGAAGUACGUAACCGCGAGGAGCGUCCUAGGGUAAAACUGGUGACUGGGGCUAAG
rnacentral:rRNA from 1 species